rnacentral:lncRNA from 1 species
AUUACUGGCUGAUAACUACAAACUAUUAAAAAGAGAAGCAAAUUUUGGAAAAUCUAUGAAUAAGACCAACACAGAUUCUGCACUUUUCUUGCCCACACUCACAGGAGUUAGGAUCAGAGGAAGUGAAUGUUCCAGACAUGGUUGAUGGAGCAACUUCAAUAAUGAAGCAGGUUGAAAACAAAUGUAGAUUUAAAAGAUACUUGGCUAAAAUUCCUUCAAAAUCUUGUCUGAGUUCAUGAGUCACUACUAUCAAAAAGAGUGAAAAGCUGCCAGCCCUAUGUGGUUCAAACACCAACCAAAAGGGAGAUCUACUCUUUCC